UACGAAGGGGGGCUAGCGUUGUUCGGAAUCACUGGGCGUAAAGCGCACGUAGGCGGAUCUUUAAGUCAGGGGUGAAAUCCCGAGGCUCAACCUCGGAACUGCCUUUGAUACUGGGGAUCUCGAGUCCGGGAGAGGUGAGUGGAACUGCGAGUGUAGAGGUGAAAUUCGUAGAUAUUCGCAAGAACACCAGUGGCGAAGGCGGCUCACUGGCCCGGAACUGGACGCUGAGGUGCGAAAGCGUGGGGAGCAAACAGG
rnacentral:rRNA from 1 species